AGUCGAGCGGUAGCACAGAGAGCUUGCUCUCGGGUGACGAGCGGCGGACGGGUGAGUAAUGUCUGGGAAACUGCCUGAUGGAGGGGGAUAACUACUGGAAACGGUAGCUAAUACCGCAUAACGUCGCAAGACCAAAGUGGGGGACCUUCGGGCCUCAUGCCAUCAGAUGUGCCCAGAUGGGAUUAGCUGGUAGGUGGGGUAACGGCUCACCUAGGCGACGAUCCCUAGCUGGUCUGAGAGGAUGACCAGCCACACUGGAACUGAGACACGGUCCAGACUCCUACGGGAGGCAGCAGUGGGGAAUAUUGCACAAUGGGCGCAAGCCUGAUGCAGCCAUGCCGCGUGUGUGAAGAAGGCCUUCGGGUUGUAAAGCACUUUCAGCGGGGAGGAAGGCGGUAAGGUUAAUAACCUUGUCGAUUGACGUUACCCGCAGAAGAAGCACCGGCUAACUCCGUGCCAGCAGCCGCGGUAAUACGGAGGGUGCAAGCGUUAAUCGGAAUUACUGGGCGUAAAGCGCACGCAGGCGGUCUGUCAAGUCGGAUGUGAAAUCCCCGGGCUCAACCUGGGAACUGCAUUCGAAACUGGCAGGCUAGAGUCUUGUAGAGGGGGGUAGAAUUCCAGGUGUAGCGGUGAAAUGCGUAGAGAUCUGGAGGAAUACCGGUGGCGAAGGCGGCCCCCUGGACAAAGACUGACGCUCAGGUGCG
rnacentral:rRNA from 1 species